rnacentral:rRNA from 1 species
CGCGUAGGUGGUCAGGUAAGUUUGGAGUGAAAGUCCUAUUUUCAAGGUAGGAACUGCUUUGAAAACUGCCUGACUGGAGUGAUGGAGAGGAUAGCGGAAUUCCCGGUGUAGCGGUGAAAUGCGUAGAGAUCGGGAGGAACACCAGUGGCGAAGGGGGCUAUCUGGACAUAGACUGACACUGAGGCGCGAAAGCGUGGGUAGCAAACA